UCAGUUAGCCAAAAGUCCAGAACAACAGUGGUUCGUGUCCCCACUCAGCCUGAAGCUGAGGAUGAUGGCGAAGCUGGUCCAUCCACACACUCCAAGGAAUCGCAAGUCGAAUGUGUCAGGCAGGCCAACACACAUGUCAACAACACAGAAACAGAAGUCGGCUGUCACAAGCAUGCCACAUGGUUCCCCACUGUGACGCCACAGAGGUGUCAUCCAGGCCACCACUACAACUUCUGCGCAGUCCCACGGCAAUUUCACCACACUAACUGCAGCUGCCUGAUUGGUGGUAUAGUCUCAGGAAUCCCACAGCACCCAGCAGUUCACUGCAUCACAGCACUGAAGCAUUUUUGAGAGUGAAUAAUGUUCCUAUUUCCCUUUUAAAGGCAUCAAAAUGCAGGUGUGAUUAAUGGGUAAGUUGACACACAGGUUAAACACGCCAGGCCAAAACAGUUCUAUUUAAAGUUGUAUUUCUUUUUGAA